UUUAUAAUGGAUUAAAUUGAAAUUAUGCCUAAACUAAGGAGAUAAAAUUUGAGUUGGUUUGAUGAGGCAAAGCCAUGAAAGAAGAAGAAGUGAUGUAUCCAUGGCAGAAUCACAAAAAUGGAAAAUGUAAUCAAUUCAGGCUUUCUGGGUGUGGGGCUAGCCAGAGACAGCCGUACCAUCAAAAAAUACUUUUCCAAGCUCAAUUACCAACGCCUUCGCUGGAAAAAAACCAAAACAAAACCCCUCUCUCUGACCAUGCAUAUAACAUAUGCUAUGCCAUGGCAUCAUUGAUUGAAUAAAUCAUCCAAAGGGUCAAAAAUCGAAAAAAAGGCAUUAUUAUUCAGUGGUUGGAUUGGGAGUUCCGAAACGAAGCCAAGGGACCCAGAAGCCAAAGCCAAAAACGAAGCUCAUUGGAAGGUGAAAAGGUAUUCGAUUUUGCAAAAUAAUUACAACAGAAGAAAUGUAUGGGAUUAGUAAUAGUGGGCUUUGAGAAAGCCAACCUUUUUGUUCGAAUAA